rnacentral:tRNA from 5 species
AAGGCCUUAGUUUAAUAAAAAUACCUGAUUUGCAAUUAGGAGAUGCAAGUUAAUUUCUUGUAGGUCUUA